rnacentral:rRNA from 1 species
GACGAACGCUGGCGGCGUGCUUAACACAUGCAAGUCGAACGGUGAAGCGCCUUCCUUUUUGGUGGGUGUGGAUGAGUGGCGAACGGGUGAGUAACACGUGAGUAACCUGCCCCCUUCUUCUGGAUAACCGCAUGAAAGUGUGGCUAAUACGGGAUAUUCUGGGUCUGUCGCAUGAUGGGUCUGGGAAAGAUAUUGUUUCGGUGGGGGAUGGGCUCGCGGCCUAUCAGCUUGUUGGUGGGGUGAUGGCCUACCAAGGCGGUGAGGGGUAGCCGGCCUGAGAGGGGGGGCGGGCCGGGGGGGGGUGCACGGCGGCGCGGCCUACGGCGGGAGGCAGCGGGGGAGAGUGGUGAAAGGGGGGAGGAAGGAUGGAGCAGCGCCGCGGGGGUGGGGAAGGCGUUCUGGGUGUGGAGAACUUCUGUCGGGAGAGAAGAAGGGCAGCCUGAUUCGUGGGUGGGUUGACGGUAGCGAAAUAAUAAGCGCCGGCUAACUACGUG